GUGUCAGUAGUGUAACGGAUAGAGCACGCACUCCCGGACAGAGUGAGCUGCGGGUUCUAUUCCCGUUUGGCGCU